rnacentral:rRNA from 1 species
AGGACGAACGCUGGCGGCGUGCUUAACACAUGCAAGUGGAGCGACGAACCGGGGCUUGCCCCGGGGCAGAGCCGCGAACGGGUGAGUAACACGUGGGUUACCUGCCUUGAUGACCGGGACAACCCGAGGAAACUCGGGCUAAUACCGGAUGUGCCCGCAAGGGGAAAGGAAGCUUCGGCCUCCGCAUCAAGAUGGGCCCGCGGCCCAUUAGCUUGUUGGUGAGGUAACGGCUCAUCAAGGCUUCGAUGGGUAGCUGGUCUGAGAGGACGAUCAGCCACACUGGGACUGAGACACGGCCCAGACUCCUACGGGAGGCAGCAGUGGGGAAUCUUGCGCAAUGCGCGAAAGCGUGACGCAGCAACGCCGCGUGGGGGAAGAAGGCUCUCGGGUUGUAAACCCCUUUCAGUUGGGACGAAGCUUCGCCGGUUAAUAGCCGGCUGGAGUGACGGUACCUUCACAAGAAGCACCGGCUAACUACGUGCCAGCAGCCGC